GCACUGCUGAGGAGUCCCAUAAUGGGACGAAACCGCCGUUCAGUGC
rfam:Schistosoma mansoni, Puerto Rico, WGS project CABG01000000 data, contig: 0097